CAUGAGAAAUUGAAUUUAAAUUGUAUUCAAAAACUUGCUCAGACGAGCUUUAAAGAAAAAGAGGAGAGAUUGCUUGUUGAAUUAUAAACUACUAAAGCAGUAAACUAAUCAAAUAUAAAGGUAAAUUAUCUAAAAAAUCUAGGACUCUUGAAUCUACUAGACCAAUGAAUUAGAAAGCCUUCGUAUGGUUUCUCUUAUUAAGGUGAAAAAUAUUAACAAGCAUGGAUCAUGAAGAGAUUUAACUCAACUAUGAUCC
rnacentral:lncRNA from 1 species